rnacentral:rRNA from 1 species
AAGUGACGAUGGCGGCGGCCUAAACAUGCAGUCGAGGGGUAACAGGAAAAGCUUGCUUUUCGCUGACGACCGGCGCACGGGUGCGUAACGCGUAUGCAACCUGCCUCCAACAGAGGGAUAGCCCCGGGAAACCGGGAUUAAUACCUCAUAGUAUUCUCAUUUUGCAUGAUUUGAGAAUUAAAGCUCCGGCGGUUGGAGAUGGGCAUGCGUGACAUUAGCUAGAUGGUGAGGUAACGGCUCACCAUGGCUACGAUGUCUAGGGGGUCUGAGAGGAUGAUCCCCCACACUGGUACUGAGACACGGACCAGACUCCUACGGGAGGCAGCAGUGAGGAAUAUUGGGCAAUGGACGCAAGUCUGACCCAGCCAUGCCGCGUGAAGGAUGAAGGCUCUAGUGGUUGUAAACUUCUUUUAUAUACCAAGAAACCCCCCGACGUGUCGGGGGCUGACGGUAGUAUAUGAAUAAGCACCGGCUAACUCCGUGCCAGCAGCCGCGGUAAUACGGAGGGUGCAAGCGUUAUCCGGAUUCAUUGGGUUUAAAGGGUGCGUAGGCGGAAUGAUAAGUCAGUGGUGAAAUCCCAUAGCUCAACUGUGGAACUGCCAUUGAUACUGUCGUUCUUGAGUCUGGCUGAGGUUGGCGGAAUGUGGCAUGUAGCGGUGAAAUGCUUAGAUAUGCCACAGAACACCGAUUGCGAAGGCAGCUAACCAAACCAGUACUGACGCUGAGGCACGAAAGCGUGGGGAGCGAACAGGAUUAGAUACCCUGGUAGUCCACGCCGUAACGAUGAUCACUCGUUGUUGGCGGUAUACUGUCGGUGACUAAGCAAAAGCGUUAAGUGAUCCACCUGGGGAGUACGUUCGCAAGGUUG